UACGUAGGGUGCGAGCGUUAAUCGGAAUUACUGGGCGUAAAGCGUGUGUAGGCGGUUCGCCAAGUCUGAUGUGAAAGCCCCGGGCUCAACCUGGGAACUGCAUUGGAAACUGACGAGCUUGAGUGUGGCAGAGGGGGGUGGAAUUCCACGUGUAGCAGUGAAAUGCGUAGAGAUGUGGAGGAACACCGGUGGCGAAGGCAGCCCCCUGGGCUAACACUGACGCUCAGGCACGAAAGCGUGGGGAGCAAACAGG
rnacentral:rRNA from 1 species